GUACUCGCUUUGGCAGCACAUAUACCAAAAAUGGAAUGAUACAGAGAUUAGUAUGGCCACUGUGCAAGGAUAACAUGCAAAUUCAUGAAGCAUUCCAUUAAAAA
rfam:Pteropus alecto contig53163, whole genome shotgun sequence.